UACAGAGGUGGCAAGCGUUGUUCGGAAUUACUGGGCGUAAAGAGCUCGUAGGCGGUCUGUCGCGUCUGCUGUGAAAACUCGGGGCUUAACCCCGGGCCUGCAGUGGGUACGGGCAGACUAGAGUGCGGUAGGGGAGACUGGAAUUCCUGGUGUAGCGGUGGAAUGCGCAGAUAUCAGGAGGAACACCGAUGGCGAAGGCAGGUCUCUGGGCCGCAACCUGACGCUGAGGCGCGAAAGCGUGGGGAGCAAACAGG
rnacentral:rRNA from 1 species